CAGGCCUAACACAUGCAAGUCGAACGAGGACCCCGUCUUCGGACGGGACUCCUAGUGGCGGACGGGUGAGUAACGCGUGGGAACCUGCCCUGGAGUGGGGAAUAACCUGGGGAAACCUAGGCUAAUACCGCAUACGCCCCGCGGGGGAAAGGCUUCGGUCGCUCUGGGAGGGGCCCGCGUCGGAUUAGGUAGUUGGUAGGGUAACGGCCUACCAAGCCGGCGAUCCGUAGCUGGUCUGAGAGGAUGAUCAGCCACACUGGGACUGAGACACGGCCCAGACUCCUACGGGAGGCAGCAGUGGGGAAUAUUGGACAAUGGGGGAAACCCUGAUCCAGCAAUGCCGCGUGGGUGAAGAAGGCCUUAGGGUUGUAAAGCCCUUUCGCACGCGAAGAUGAUGACGGUAGCGUGAGAAGAAGCCCCGGCCAACUCCGUGCCAGCAGCCGCGGUAAU
rnacentral:rRNA from 1 species